rnacentral:rRNA from 1 species
GACGGAGGAUGCAAGCGUUAUCCGGAAUUAUUGGGCGUAAAGCGUCCGUAGGCGGUUAAUUAAGUCAGUUGUUAAAGACUGCAGCUCAACUGUGGGAGAGCAACUGAAACUGAUUGACUAGAGUAUGGUAGGGGUAGAGGGAAUUCCUAGUGUAGCGGUGAAAUGCGUAGAUAUUAGGAAGAACACCAGUGGCGAAGGCGCUCUACUGGGCCAAGACUGACGCUGAUGGACGAAAGCUAGGGGAGCGAAAGGG